AGAAUCAAAAGUAGUAAACCAAUCUCUAUGCGGGCACAUAUGAAAAGUACACGCAGUGUCAAGUACCCACUCAUCAUUGGUCUCAGCACAUCCAGCAAUAACAACAAGAGCAUCAUCUGAACUUUCAUCACGAGCAACAUUAGCAGAAUUUUCACCUUGUUUGUUACCUUUCGGUUUAUAUGUACCAUUCCUCUUUUCCUUGUUCUGCAACUUGAAACAUUCUGAGAUGUCAUGCCCGUCUCUCUUGCAAUACCUGCAAGACUGCUUCUUGUCUUUAGAUUGCGACCGGCCCCUCUGGCCGUUCUUACUUUUGCCACGGUUUCCAUUGUGUGAGUUCUUCUCCUUUGUCCUGCCACGAACAGAUAAUCCCUCGGCUUGGGAUGAACUCGAACCAUCAUGAGGCACCAUUAAUUUCAUCUUCUCCUUAGAGUUCAAAGCUUCAUAAACUUCAUUAAGCGUGAGAGUAUCACGACUGUAUAAUAUGGUGUCUCGAAAAUUGGUAUAAGAACUUGGCAGCGAACAAAGUAACAUUAAAGCAGUAUCUUCUUCAUCAUACGUAACCUCCAUUGCAGCUAGAUCGGAUAUGAUCUCUUUAAAUUCUGAAAUAUGAUUCAAAACGUUACCUCCCUCGGGUAACCUGUGCAUGAAUAAUUUUUGCUUCAGAUGCAUCUUGCUGGUGAGAUCUUUAGUCAUGCAAAUCCCUUCCAGCUUUAACCAUAGAGCGGCGGCAGUUUUCUCGCUCAAAACUUCCUGCAAAAUAUUAUUAUGCAAAUGGAGUUGAAUUUGUGACAAAGCCUUACGAUCCCUUCUUUUCUCCUCAGCAGUCCAAUCCUCAAUUCUAUUCUUCCCAAAACUAUCCAGUGCAUCAUCGUAGUCGGCCUGCGCCAACAACGCCCGCAUCUUGACUUGCCAUAGGGUAAACCUUGUGUCACGGUCCAGCAGCGGAAGAUCGUACUUCAUGGAUGCCAUGAGUAGAUAAAUCUGUGUACACAAAGUAGUACAAGCCGGCAGAAAAAUUCUUGAUGAAAUUAAUAUGCGGAUGAAACGAAAUAGAAUAAAUAGCACCUGGUAGCUCUUGGGUAGAUGUAGCAAAAGAUGGCAAAGUCCAAAAAAAAACUGAACUAGCACUCAGCCUGCUCCUCCACGUGAGUAGUACUUUGUACUAGCUGCAGCCUUGGCCCUGUAGCGCUUCGAUCUUCACUGUGGGCAGCAGCAGCAACUUGCGUUAACAGCGGCACCAGCAGGACGUAAGCGGAAAAACUCAGUGGAUUGGACAAGUCGACGCAGCGGGCCGAGCGCGGCAACAGGGGUGCGACUUGGAGACAGCAGCUGCAGCGGCUCGGCGCGAUUUGUACGCGUGCGUGCGUACGAACAGAACUUCAGUCGGACUCGGUGUCUUGCUCGAUCUGGCGUCGGAUCGCCGGAUCGCGUGUCGGCGGCAGUGCACGCGACGUACAACCGCUGUAGCAGAAAUCGUGUCGAACUCGGCUCCUGUAUUGAUCCGGAUCAGCGGAUCGCCCGACGUGGCGGCGGCGAGGAAAACCCUAGCUCUCGUCUGAAAUCUCGUAUACGUAGAACCUCAGCUCUGUAUACCACUUGUUAGAUAAAACGGGAUCAACGAGACACGAGAGACACGGAUUUUUACGUGGAAACCCUUGCGGGAGAAAACCACGGACGCACGAAGGCGCAAUCACUAUGAGGAGGAGUAUUACAAGCACGAGACGACAGGCCGUCUUUAGGUGCGACUACAUGGAGUAUAUAUGAGGGGCAAUACAUAAGAGUCCUUGGAGGACAAGUAAACGAGUUGUACUCGUACGCGUCGGUACCAACGCAAAAGCCCACACCGUUUGUACUACGUCUAGUCCAAUACGGUAGAAUUUGGAUCACAAUUUAACAAAAGUGAUGGUUGCUUUAUUAUAAUAUAAAGAAGGGAGAAACCCUUUUUCGGUAUUACCAGCACCAUAGCAACAUAACAGAAGGACAGACGCCACUCCUUGGAAGAGGAGUGAGACUUUUCCAUGUUAUUGCAGGCUAAGUGACCGCAGUACAAAAUGGAGCCACGUUUUCUAACCAGUCAGCUGGCAAGAUAUCUUGACAUCUCAAUGAAGUACAUGAAGCUUUUAUGAGAUCGUGCAAAAUCUAAGUAGCAGGCACAUAUAGAAUCACUGACCUUUGAUUCUUCUAGCCACGUUUUCUAACCAGUCAGCUGUGUAGAUAUCCUGACCUCUCACGAAAGUACAUGAAGUUUUUGUGAGAUCACACUCACAUUUAAUUCAGAAUUUAGAAAUUUUGGGAAGAGAAAAAACGAACUUUAGAUUCUAACCUUCCACAUCUGUAGUAUGUUUGUUGGGAUGGCCGUAGAGAGCAGCGGCCACCACGCGUCCAUUGUCCUGGUCGCAAACCUUAAGAUAGAUCACUAAUACCAAAAGGAAAGUGACAGCGCCAAUCUUCCAGCAUGUUUGCGGCUGUUGGGCAGAAGCACACGGUGUCUCUUGGCUGAAUAGUGUUAACAGCACUGACAGCCAGCAUACUUAUAAAUCGCUAACAUUUCUGCAAAGUUAACAGUGAUUGGUAACCUUGAAAUUCUCGAGCAAGUAAUAGACGAAAGCCAAAAAAGACAUUGACAAAAUGAGGAGCAUAAAUGCAAAACUAACUCUAUUCUAACAUGACAACAGAACCAUCAAUUUCUAGAAUCAGAAAAAAGUAACACAUCCAAGAUGUCACAUAUCAGAAGGACCAUUGGUAUUUACACAGGUUGAUUGCCUUCCUCAUUUUCAGAUUCUAACCACCCCCUUGAAGUUUUUAUUUGUACUUAAUCGUCUUACUAACUCACAAUUAGAAGGAUGGAUGUUUGGUGAAGUAGACAGAUGGUCCCUCUAAAUGAUUUUUUUUUCUAUUCUGAUUCACGCGUCUCAAAUUUUAAAAACUUUGCCUAUUCUGUCCCACAACAAUUUCUUGU
rnacentral:lncRNA from 1 species